AGAGUUUGAUCAUGGCUCAGAUUGAACGCUGGCGGCAGGCCUAACACAUGCAAGUCGAGCGGUAGCACAGAGAGCUUGCUCUCGGGUGACGAGCGGCGGACGGGUGAGUAAUGUCUGGGAAACUGCCUGAUGGAGGGGGAUAACUACUGGAAACGGUAGCUAAUACCGCAUAACGUCGCAAGACCAAAGUGGGGGACCUUCGGGCCUCAUGCCAUCAGAUGUGCCCAGAUGGGAUUAGCUAGUAGGUGGGGUAAUGGCUCACCUAGGCGACGAUCCCUAGCUGGUCUGAGAGGAUGACCAGCCACACUGGAACUGAGACACGGUCCAGACUCCUACGGGAGGCAGCAGUGGGGAAUAUUGCACAAUGGGCGCAAGCCUGAUGCAGCCAUGCCGCGUGUGUGAAGAAGGCCUUCGGGUUGUAAAGCACUUUCAGCGGGGAGGAAGGCGNCGAUUGACGUUACCCGCAGAAGAAGCACCGGCUAACUCCGUGCCAGCAGCCGCGGUAAUACGGAGGGUGCAAGCGUUAAUCGGAAUUACUGGGCGUAAAGCGCACGCAGGCGGUCUGUCAAGUCGGAUGUGAAAUCCCCGGGCUCAACCUGGGAACUGCAUUCGAAACUGGCAGGCUAGAGUCUUGUAGAGGGGGGUAGAAUUCCAGGUGUAGCGGUGAAAUGCGUAGAGAUCUGGAGGAAUACCGGUGGCGAAGGCGGCCCCCUGGACAAAGACUGACGCUCAGGUGCGAAAGCGUGGGGAGCAAACAGGAUUAGAUACCCUGGUAGUCCACGCCGUAAACGAUGUCGAUUUGGAGGUUGUGCCCUUGAGGCGUGGCUUCCGGAGCUAACGCGUUAAAUCGACCGCCUGGGGAGUACGGCCGCAAGGUUAAAACUCAAAUGAAUUGACGGGGGCCCGCACAAGCGGUGGAGCAUGUGGUUUAAUUCGAUGCAACGCGAAGAACCUUACCUGGUCUUGACAUCCACAGAACUU
rnacentral:rRNA from 1 species